GUUUUCCACAAGAGCAGGAAGAGCUCUGAACUGCUGAGCUGUCACUCUGGCCCAUCCAAGCCCUGUUUGCCUCUCUUUUGAAGAGCUCAUGUUAUCUAAACUGACUUUGACCUCCUGACCUUCCUGCCUCCAUGUGCAGCAGUCUGGUUUCUGUGCGGAGGACCAUCCUACCUUCCCCAUUAGACUCCAUUCUUGAAGCUGUGUUGACUGUGUCUCCAAAGAGGCAGUAUCGGGGCAUCUUUAGCCCUACCACACCAGCACACACGGGACCUGGGAGGGGAAAAGAAAGGAACAGAGUCCAGGGAAGUCAGAGGAGCCUCCGGAGGCCUUCCGUGGUCAGACCUGUGUGAAUUCCAAUGCGCAAGCGCAGCUGUUCCUGGGGCCUAUGGCGGAUGCGGAAGGAGCGUACAGCAUCGAGCAGUGCAAGUGCCAUUCGGGCUACCUCUCGGGCAUGGAGCUGUCCAUUCCUCACUGGGAGCCCUGAUACCACCAUCGCCAGGCGGAUCUGUUGAAAGGGUGGCCGCUCCUGAGGAUCCUCUGCCCAGCACCUCUGCAUCAGCUGCCCCAGUUCCUCCAGGUGGCUCUGCAGAUCCAUGGAAGGUCGGAAUGGGGGCUGCUCGCCCCGAGUCACACGCUCAAUGAUCUCUGUGUGGAAGGGGCACG
ensembl:antisense Gm16048 predicted gene 16048